rnacentral:tRNA from 1 species
GGAGAGGUACCGAAGUGGCCAUAACGGCACCGACUCGAAAUCGGUCGGGGGGCCGAAAGCUCCCACGCGGGUUCGAAUCCCGCCCUCUCCG